rnacentral:rRNA from 1 species
CCUACGGGUGGCAGCAGUGAGGAAUAUUGGUCAAUGGGCGGGAGCCUGAACGAGCAAAGCCGCGUGAAGGAAGAAGGCGUCAGGCGUCGUAAACUUCUUUUGUCGGGGAAAAAAGGGCGCCACGCGUGGCGUUGUGAGUGUACCCGAAGAAAAAGCAUCGGCUAACUCCGUGCCAGCAGCCGCGGUAAUACGGAGGACGCGAGGGUUAUACGGAUUGAUUGGGUUUAAAGGGUGCGUAGCCGGUCCGGAAAGUCAGCGGGAAAAGCCCGGGGCUCAACCCCGGCGGGCCGUUGAAACUGUUGGACUAGAGACGGCGAGAGGUACGCGGAAUGCGCGGUGUAGCGGUGAAAUGCGUAGAUAUCGGGAAGAACUCCAGUGGCGAAGGCGGCGUACGGG